rnacentral:rRNA from 1 species
CGUGUAGGCGGUUUGGCAAGUCAGAGGUGAAAUGCCCCGGCUCAACCGGGGACCUGCCUUUGAAACUGCCGAACUUGAGGCCGUGAGGGGAGACUGGAAUUCCUAGUGUAGCGGUGAAAUACAUAGAUAUUAGGAAGAACACCAGUGGCGAAGGCGAGUCUCUGGCACGGUUCUGACGCUGAGGCGCGAAAGCUAGGGGAGCGAACG